rnacentral:misc_RNA from 1 species
AAGUCGUAACAAGGUAACCGUAGGUGAACCUGCGGUUGGAUCAUUACCAAUCCUGGCUCGCGAGAGUCAUUCAACCCCAUGUGCACUCAUUAUUGUUUCUGGGUUAUAAUUUAUUAUAGCCCAACCUUUUUAUAAACCUUACUAUCUGUCUGAAAUUAUUUUAAAUAAUAAAAAACAACUUUUGACAACGGAUCUCUUGGCUCUC